CUUCUUAACAUCAUUUACUUGCUCACUUGCUUCUUUUUGAAUUUGUUGGACAUGCUCGUUUGCUUCUCUUCUUGAAGUAUCAAGUUAUCUAAGUAGUUCUAUCUUUGUAGGUCUAACACCAAAAUAUUCCGUGACAUUUUUUCCAGGACCAUAAGUACGUACAUAACCAUUUUUUUCUGGCCCAAGUACAUCAGCAAACAUAGCAUCA
rnacentral:lncRNA from 1 species